rnacentral:rRNA from 1 species
UGAAUACGAGAUGCUACGGCGUCGAAGCAGUCUAUGUCAUACUUCCAAGAAAAGCUUGCACUGUCAUAAACAAAUAAUGCCUGUACCAUAACCGACACAGGUGGGUAGGUAGAGUAUACUAAGGGGCGCGAGAUAACUCUCUCUAAGGAACUCGGCAAAAUGACUCCGUAACUUCGGGAGAAGGAGUGCCUUAUUUAUAAGGUUGCAAUAACAAGAUCCAAGCAACUGUUUACCAAAAACACAGGUCUCCGCUAAGUCGUAAGACGAUGUAUGGGGGCUGACGCCUGCCCAGUGCCAGAAGGUUAAAGAAGUUGGUUAGCAUCCGCGAAGCUGAUAACUGAAGCCCUGGUGAACGGCGGCCGUAACGAUAACGGUCCUAAGGUAGCGAAAUUCCUUGUCGGGUAAGUUCCGACCCGCACGAAAGGCGUAAUGAUUUGGAUACUGUCUCGGAGAGGGGCUCGGUGAAAUAGACUUGUCUGUGAAGAUGCGGACUACCUGCACCAGGACAGAAAGACCCUAUGAAGCUUUACUGUAACCUGAAAUUGAAAUUGGACUUUACUUGCGCAGUAUAGGUGGGAGGCGUUGAGAAUAUUCUUGCGGGAUUAUUGGAGCCAUCAGUGAGAUACCACUCUUGUAAUGUUAGAUUUCUAACUUUGUAUCAUUAUCUGGUCAAAGAACAGUUUCAGGCGGGCAGUUUGACUGGGGCGGUCGCCUCCUAAACGGUAACGGAGGCGCACAAAGGUUUCCUCUGAACGGGUAGAAAUCGUAUCUAGAGUGUAAAGGCAUAAGGAAGCUUGACUGUGAGACCUACAAGUCGAGCAGGGACGAAAGUCGGUCUUAGUGAUCUGACGGUGCUGAGUGGAAAGGCCGUCACUCAACGGAUAAAAGUUACUCUAAGGAUAACAGGCUGAUCUCCCCCAAGAGUUCACAUCGACGGGGAGGUUUGGCACCUCGAUGUCGGCUCAUCGCAUCCUGGGGCGGUAGUACGUCCCAAGGGUUGGGCUGUUCGCCCAUGAAAGCGGUACGCGAGCUGGGUUCAGAACGUCGUGAGACAGUUCGGUCCAUAUCCGGUGUAGGCGUUAGAAUAUUGAGAGGAGCCUUCUUUAGUACGAGAGGACCGAGAAGGACAUACCUCUGGUGUACCAGUUAUCGUGCCAACGGUAAACGCUGGGUAGCUAUGUGUGGAGUGGAUAACCGCUGAAAGCAUCUAAGUGGGAAGCCCACCUCAAGAUAAG